CACUUUUAAAAUAGGUAACAUUUUAUGGUAACAUUAAGAGGUGUUACAUUAUUUCUAUAUCUAUAAUCCAUAUAUAUAAUAAUUAUUAUUUAAUUUAAUAACUAAUAACCCAUAUAAAAAGAGAUAGAUUAGUUACUAUUAUUAUGAACAGUACUCGUCUUGUCUCGUAAAAAAAAAAAAAAAAAAAAAAAAAAAACCAAAAUAAGUACUCGGCCAUGCGCAAUUACAUUGUUACCCUCAAACUUAAGGGAUUGCUAAAUUUGCCCUUCCCCUUAUUUCUUGCUUUCCUGCUCACCAUCACUCAUUCCCUCAUUUCUUCUCUCUCCUCUCACUACCUUUUAUGAACCCGUUUCGCAGUUCAUGUUUGAUGUUUUUUUUUUAGCCUUUGUUAAAAAUUUGAUUUGUUUAGACUUUAGGGUUGUUUUUUUUUUUUUUUUUUUUACUAAUUGUUUUCUAAAUUUUCUAUUCUCUUGAUCGUUUUCCACAAUUUCUAUCAAUCAUCUUCUUCAUCUCCAUCUCAGUUUCCUCCCAAUGUCCGCAAUUUGUUUGAUUUUUUCGGUAGAUUAAUCAAACAUCCCCUCUUUUCCCCAAAUUUUACUUGCAAGGUAAUCAUAAUGUGUUUCUAUAUCAUCGAAUUUUCAUUUCAAAAUCUAGGGUUUAUCGUUAAUUAAAUAUUGAGUCUGUAUAUUCAAUAUUCUUUCUUAAAUUCGUAAUAGUUAUCCUAUAAACCCUAAUGUACUCGAAAAUGUCAGAUAAGGCAUUGUCUUUAUGGAAUUUGGGGUUAAUUUCUCUCUACUCCAUUGAAGGCCUGAAGCACGUACUCUGAAUUCUCCAUUGAUCCAGCUUCUGAGCUCUUUCGACAAGCCGGAGGAUAAUUUGUUUGCUUUUCUUGCCACCGUCAAACUGCUUAACAUUAAGGUAAAGAGGUGAUACAUCACAGAGUUCACACUAUGAUGCUGUGGUUAAUUUUUCUGGAUUAAAUUCAAGUAGAACUUCGUAGUCCACAUGAAAAAAGUAAGAAGGUGGCUAAAGAUCAUGACGAGUAUACACCUGAAGAAGAGGGUGAACUGAACCACUCAAGUUUGGAGCUGUCUUCUGCUGCUGCGGUCACUGUCACUGUUACUGUUGUUUUGCUGUUGAAACUGCUAUUUGCUGCUGUUGUUACUGUUGUUUGCCGGUGUUACUGCUGUCUAUUGCUGUUACUGCUGCUAGCCUGCUAGUGCUAAUCUGCUGGGCUGAUCUGCUGUAUUUACUGCUAGCAGAUGCUAGUCAUGUUACUACUAGCUAGCCGCUGCUAUCUGCGGUUAUUACUUUGAGCGCUGCGUCUGUUUGCUACUACGCUUACUGUAUUUUGGAAUUUGGUGGACUAGAAAUCGAAGUUGACAUUAUUUUUGUUUUUCAUUAUUAGAUUGUUUAGCCAGAAGAAAAAAUUUGUGUUUAUGCAUAUUUUUUUUGUAAGAACAAUAAAAUGAUUUCAGUUCAAA